GCCGGGAUGGCGAAACUGGCAGACGCGCAUGACUUAGAAUCAUGUGGGCUAACACCCGUCGGGGUUCAAGUCCCCGUUCCGGCA
rnacentral:tRNA from 1 species